GAAUUUUCAACUAUGGAGUAUGGUUUUCAGUCCCCUGAUUCUGGUACAGAUUCUAAUGCUAACACUAGGCUUUUUCCUCUUCCUGGAUCUCUCAUCUCUCUAAAAAAUGGGGUGAUGCCAGAACUGAAAAUGAAGCUCAGUGGUAGAGUUUGCUUGAUGGCUGGAACAGAAGGAAGGCUUCAGAUUCCUACAAGGUGCAGCAGCUAUGAUUCCAGAGAAAACCAUGUGAUUGGUCCCCAUGGCCUUCUCCUUGAUCCGGGCAGUGAGGGAAGUUGUUUCUCAUCCAGGGACCUACCAGUCUCCACCCUUGGAUCCACACAUCUCCUGGUAAGUGCUGUUCCUCCCACCUUCUGACCAGGUAACGAUUAGGUAGAUAGCAGUGGUCUUCAGUAGCUGCUGCUCUUGAUGACCAAUUGAGGUAACUUAGGAAUG
rnacentral:lncRNA from 1 species